GACAAGGCAUCGGCUAGCUGGCCAGCGGCGAGCAGCUUCUUCCCCAUCUCCAUGUGACUGUCCACUCCUCCAUCCCGGCCGCAUUUCACUCCUGCAGAGACGGUUCACACGCUGACAUCAACACCGACCGUCUGUGAGUCCCAUGUGUUGGCCGCUAUUUAUUCGGCAUCGCUUCUCCCGGUCACCUCCCGGACCAGCGCACUGAGUCGGGCCGGUCGUGUGUGGCUGUGAUUGGCCGGAUGGUUCGAGAAGCCCCGCCCACACCCGUUGGUUCAACAGAGAGAAGCCACGGCAGCAUAACAUCAGGGUUGGAGAAGUAGUUUGAGGUGGUCAACACUAUGCUGUCUACCUCAGACCAUGUCCAGAUCUCUGUGGGCAUCGUGGAACACACCAGGAUCCAUCCCGUUACGCAGACAACAA